rnacentral:rRNA from 1 species
UACGUAGGGUGCGAGCGUUAAUCGGAAUUACUGGGCGUAAAGCGUGCGUAGGCGGUUGCACAAGCUUGAUGUGAAAGCCCCGGGCUCAACCUGGGAAUGGCAUUGAGGACUGUGUGGCUUGAGUGCGGCAGAGGGAGGUGGAAUUCCAGGUGUAGCAGUGAAAUGCGUAGAGAUCUGGAGGAACACCGAUGGCGAAGGCAGCCUCCUGGGCCGACACUGACGCUGAGGGCACGAAAGCGUGGGGAGCAAA